CACUCAAUAAUACAAGUAGCAUUCCCUUUUCCAAACUUUCCCUUCCUCUUCCAAAUACUUUACAUUUUCUCCGCUACCCAAAACUUCCUUUAAUUACUUAACACUCACUAUGAUCUUUAUUUAUUUUUAAGUCGCAUCUCUUAUUAUUUAUUUUUGUUGAAAUUAAAAAAAAACAAAUAAAAUUACCUUAUCCCAUUGUCCGUUUAACCGUAGCAUACUUUUUCAUUGUUUCAAGGCUUAACAAUUUUAAAAUCCAAUAUAAUGUAAUAAAACAAAUCCAAUUUUUAAAGAUUUUUUAUCUUCAAUAUAAAAUUAUUUUAGGAUAUUGAGAUGUAUUUAUAUUUUUUUUAUUGGGACAAAGAUAAACAAUAACCGAGUUAAAUGAAUAAACCCAUUACCAAAUCCUAGGUAGACAAGCCUUGCUUUAAAUUCUACAACCUACUACUUAUCCUUUUUCAAAUAUACCAACUCAACCAUAUUAAAUGGUUACCAUGUGUUUGAUUUAAAUACUGCUUCAUCCUAACAGUUGAAGAUGAACUUUAUUCAUUCGGCAAAAAUUUCUACGCUGCAAUCUGAUUGGUCUUUUGCCAGAGUUAUAUUUUUCUUUUCGACCACCGUGAUUUCCUUGAUUAAAUAUGGCGAGUCAUAGUUUUAUCUUCGUUCCCAAGGCACUAAUACUUAAAGAAUCUGAUCUUCACGGCUGGAAAAGCAAGAUCUGUAUCAGACAAUCUGCAUAAAUGGAUUUAGUCUCUCUCUGUUAGUUUUACAUACUUAAAAUCUGGUUGCACUUCAGAUGUGUGCUAAGCGGACAAACAUUCCAGUGUAUCGUAGACCUGGUUAUGAUUGAUAUUCAAAAUGUAAUGGACGCAUCUGCAUGUGUUGAUCAUUCAUGUCUUCCAUCACAUUGCAAAUGAAUUCACGUGUGAUAGGAAUAGAGAUGAUUUACACAGCUAGAGGAAGACAACAUUUGUUUGAUAUAGAGUAAGAGGAAGACAAUAUUUGUGUGAUAGGAACAAAGAUGAUAUAGACAACACGAAGAAGACAAUACUUUGUUUGAUAAGAACACAAAUGAUACAUACAGAAAUAGGAAGAUAACAUUUGUUUGAUAGAAACACACAUUAUAUAUACAACUAUAAGUUCGCAUUUUCA